rnacentral:rRNA from 1 species
UAACACGUAGGGGCCAAGCGUUGUCCGGAUUUAUUGGGCGUAAAGAGCUCGUAGGCGGUUCAGUUAGUCGGGUGUGAAAACUCUGGGCUCAACUCAGAGACGCCACCCGAUACUGCUGUGACUUGAGUCCGGUAGGGGAGCAGGGAAUUCCAGGUGUAGCGGUGAAAUGCGCAGAUAUCUGGAGGAACACCGGUGGCGAAGGCGCUGCUCUGGGCCGGUACUGACGCUGAGGAGCGAAAGCGUGGGUAGCAAACAGGAUUAGAUACCCUGGUAGUCCACGCCGUAAACGUUGGGCACUAGGUGUGGGUCUCAACCAACGGGAUCCGUGCCGUAGCUAACGCAUUAAGUGCCCCGCCUGGGGAGUACGGCCGCAAGGUUA